CGAAAUAAGACGCGCACAAAUGCUCGGGGAUCAAAACUAAAAAUGACCCAAAUCACCAAAAACACUACCCAGGCGCGGACCAAACUGAAACAACGCGCAAACUUCUAGAGAAAAAUAAAAGAAACAUAAUAGGGACAGAUUAAAGGUAGCUCAAAAUAGGAAGGACUGGCCGCGAAAUUACCCAUUUAAAGGGAACAUGCGCAGAACCAGGCUGUCCAUGCACAGGCAAUCUCUUUCCCUUCCCCAAAAGCUAUUAAAAUUAAACAUAACCUUUAUUUUUUUUUAAAAAAAAACAUUAAAGAACUUUUAGAAAUCCCAAAUCCCUUUUUUUAAAACCCCUUUUCCUUAAAACAUUCACCCUUUUGUUUUUUGAAAAAAAACUUAAAAAUUUUUUAGAUGCUCUCUCAACUCAUGCACUCAUCUUUUCCUUUUCGUCAAACACCGCCUCUGUCAAAGGUCCCACAUGCCAUGGCCACCGACGGCACGAGCACAACUCCGGCUUUAUAGCCAAAAUACAAACUGUUUCUGCCUAUUUCUUUGCUCAAGUCGCAGAUGUUGUGAAAUCGUGGAGGAAGAGUGCACGAUCGUGCAACGUGCGAGCUAGGAAUCCGUUCGUGGGUGUUGAAGCGUGGGAGUUGCGGCGUGGGCAAAUGGAACCCUAGGGUUUGCUAUAUUUUGAAAAUAUUUAGGUCAUUGGGCUUGUAAUCGGGCCUUUUAAUUUUAGUGAUUUGGGUCUGUAUUUUGGGCCGAGCAAAAUUUGGGCCCUACAUCUGCCUUUAAAUAAAAAAUUUAAACAGAUUUAUUGGAAUCAAAUUAAUAAGAUAAGUUUUCAGCUAAGGAAAAUAAA